GAUGAAGAACGUAGCGAAAUGCGAUAAGUAAUGUGAAUUGCAGAAUUCAGUGAAUCAUCGAAUCUUUGAACGCACAUUGCGCCCCUUGGUAUUCCGGGGGACAUGCCUGUUCGAGCGUCAUUUCAACCCUCAAGCUCUGCUUGGUAUUGGGCACCGUCCUUUGCGGGCGCGCCUCAAAGACCUCGGCGGUGGCGUCUUGCCUCAAGCGUAGUAGAAUACACCUCGCUUCGGAGCGUAAGGCGUCGCCCGCCGGACGAACCUUCUGAACUUUUCUCAAGGUUGACCUCGGAUCAGGUAGGGAUACCCGCUGAACUUAAGCAUAUCAAUAAGCGGAGGA
rnacentral:misc_RNA from 1 species